GGCCCCCUGGCGUAAAUGGCAGCCGCGCCGGAUUCAAGUCCCGGUGCCCAGUAUGGGUGUGCGGGUUCGACUCCCGCGGGGGCCACCA
rnacentral:tRNA from 1 species